UAUUUUCUCUGGAAGAAGUUCUUCAGAUUUCCCAUAGACAUUUGUUGGGAGCUUUGCUCUUUGACCUUAUUACUUUGGUCUUCAGCUAUAGCUAUUUGAAUUAAAUUUCCUAUUUUCUGGACUUCUUGGGAACUCAUUUUAUUCCAUCAUUUAUAGAAGAAAUUUCUUUGUAAAAUGGGUAUGUUGAAUUUAUCUUGAGAUAUGGUGAUUGACCAUCUCCAUAUCCAUGGAAUCUGAAAUUUGGUAAAGAACCAAAAUGGAUAUUGUCCGGUGAUUAAAUUAUCAGAUAAAUAUUUGCAAUAAGUGGACUAUUGUCACACCAAGGAUUGUAUAAAUCAAGUAAUUCUUUGGGUAGUAUUUCCAAAGACGGGCCAAAUUUAGUCCACCAUUCAUAAAACCAAUUUGCUAUAAGUGUAUUAAUCAUCUCUGGAUUAAUAGAGAAAAACCAAGAAUGCUUAUUCUUGGGAUUUUGAUAAUAAAAAGCUUGAGUAAAAGCUUGGACAUAGUCCCAGUUAUUAAAGUAAAUAUACUUUCCUGCUGUAAUACUUAUUUCCUUUUCACCAUUUGGAUUAAGACCCCAUUCUCUUGGUAACAAGAUUUUAUUAAUAUGACAUUUACUGAAGUUUAUAAAACUUUCAGGAUUAUUAUUCUGGUAAUGGUGAGUAAACGUUACCGAUUCGGUAACAGUUAGAAGAAUUUCUAGGUGAGGCCUAGAUUUUCCAUGUAGGCCUGGAUAUCCUCUUGAUUCGAGGUAUCUAGUUUUGAUAGACCAUCCAUCAUUUUGAUUGAUUUUGAUAUCUUCUUCAUCAAUAUACAUGAUUUUUUCAGUUACUGGAUUUUCAAAAUAAUCCAAUUGCUCUUGAGGUGGGUUAUUAACCGCAACUUCUUUGUAAGAUGUACUUUUAUUAGAGGAGGAGGAAGGAAUAUCUUCCAUUUUAGAUAAAGAUGCAGGUAUAAUUUGUUUAAGGAUUCCUCCAUAGCUUAAGUCAGAAGCAUCCGUUUCAACAAUUUUGAAAUAUUUAGGGUUAGCAAGGGAUAAACAAGGCAAACAUUUAACUUUAUUUUUAAUUCUUUGGACUACUUGAGAAUGUUUAUCAGUCCAAGGGCCAGGAUUAUUUUUAAGCCUAGCAUGUAAUAUGGCAGUAUCUUUUGCAAGAUUUUCAUAAUAAUCUGCUAUAUAAUUGAGACUACCAAGAAACCUUUGUAAUUGUUUUUUAUCUGUAAUAAUAUUGGGGAAUUUAGAAGCGAAUUCAAUACUUCUUUGUAUAGGAAUUACAGUUCCUUGGUCAAUUUCAUGUCCAAAAAAUCUAACUUUUGUUUGAAAAAGUUUCAUCUUAUGAGCAGAUAUAACUAAUCCAUUAUGUUUAAUUAAUCCUUUGAAUAUUUUUAAAUGUUUAACAUGUUGAUCUAUA